GCGAACGCUGGCGGCAGGCCUAACACAUGCAAGUCGCACGAACUCUUCGGAGUUAGUGGCGGACGGGUGAGUAACACGUGGGAACGUGCCUUUAGGUUCGGAAUAACUCAGGGAAACUUGUGCUAAUACCGAAUGUGCCCUUCGGGGGAAAGAUUUAUCGCCUUUAGAGCGGCCCGCGUCUGAUUAGCUAGUUGGUGAGGUAAAGGCUCACCAAGGCGACGAUCAGUAGCUGGUCUGAGAGGAUGAUCAGCCACAUUGGGACUGAGACACGGCCCAAACUCCUACGGGAGGCAGCAGUGGGGAAUCUUGCGCAAUGGGCGAAAGCCUGACGCAGCCAUGCCGCGUGAAUGAUGAAGGUCUUAGGAUUGUAAAAUUCUUUCACCGGGGACGAUAAUGACGGUACCCGGAGAAGAGGCCCCGGCUAACUUCGUG
rnacentral:rRNA from 1 species